CACUCCUGCGGGAGGCAGCAGUGGGGAAUAUUGGACAAUGGGCGCAAGCCUGAUCCAGCCAUGCCGCGUGAGUGAUGAAGGCCCUAGGGUUGUAAAGCUCUUUCACCGGUGAAGAUAAUGACGGUAACCGGAGAAGAAGCCCCGGCUAACUUCGUGCCAGCAGCCGCGGUAAUACGAAGGGGGCUAGCGUUGUUCGGAUUUACUGGGCGUAAAGCGCACGUAGGCGGACUAUUAAGUCAGGGGUGAAAUCCCGGGGCUCAACCCCGGAACUGCCUUUGAUACUGGUAGUCUUGAGUUCGAGAGAGGUGAGUGGAAUUCCGAGUGUAGAGGUGAAAUUCGUAGAUAUUCGGAGGAACACCAGUGGCGAAGGCGGCUCACUGGCUCGAUACUGACGCUGAGGUGCGAAAGCGUGGGGAGCAAACAGGAUUAGAUACCCCGGUAGUCCCAU
rnacentral:rRNA from 1 species